AGACAGCAGAACUAGUAUCGAUUUGCCCAUCCCUAGCUCAUACAAGUCCUCCAACCAACCUAACAACUCUCUUUGCAGAUCUGUUGAGUCCUGUGAGAAAAAACAAGUUCCAUAACAAAGCUCAGCGUACGUGGAGACAUGGCUUUUGUUGAAACUGUUCUCCAGAUUCCCAGCAUGGUGACAUUUCUUGGGGCUGUGCUGUUUCUGCUGGCCGUCUACAUUCUCUCCUUCGGUUCCAGUUCUACGGAGCAUGGGAUAAAUCCUCCUGGACCCAGGCCACUGCCCUUGCUUGGUAACAUGCUCAUUAUGGAUCUCAAGAGACCCUACCGUACUCUCUGUGAGUUCCUUUUCGGCAUAGGCGGAAAUCCCAGGGGGACGGGGGACACGACCCCCCAUCCAGGGGAAAAGUAUGAUUUGUCUCCCCCAACAUAUCACUGUAAACAUAACAAUCUUUCCAAAAAAUAUGGCCCUGUCUUCAUGGUGCACUUUGGCCCCAAGAAAGUGAUCGUUCUGGCGGGAUACAAGACGGUUAAAGAUGCGCUGGUUAACCAGGCAGAGGACUUUGGGGACAGGGACAUCACUCCACUGUUUCAUGUUCUCAACCAAGGACAUGGGAUUUUGCUUGCCAAUGGAGACUCAUGGAAAGAGAUGAGGCGCUUUGCCCUGACAAACCUUAAGGAUUUUGGGAUGGGCAAGAAAGGGAGCGAAGAGAAAAUCUCGGAAGAAAUUACUUACCUAAUUAAAGAAUUUAAAAAACAUGAGGGGAAUGCAUUGGACACCAGCAAGCCUGUGACCUUUGCUGUCUCCAAUAUAAUCUCAGCCAUUGUGUUUGGCAGCAGGUUCGAAUACACUGACCCCCUAUUCAUUGGUAUGGUGAAUAGGGCUAAAGAAAAUGUACGACUUAUGGGCUCUGCAUCAAUUCAGAUAUACAAUAUGUUUCCCUGGUUGGGCCCAUGGAUAAAAAACCUGAUGCUUAUAAAAAAGAAUAUUGUCGAUUGGAAGACAGAGGUGAUGGAGAUCGUUAGGGGCCUGAAGGAGACUCUCAACCCCCAGAUGUGUAGAGGCUUUGUGGACUCAUUCCUUGUCCGAAAACAGACCCUGGAGGUAAAGAGAUUGCCUACAAAAUCUGCAUAUCAGGAAUCGGGCAACACGGAUUCUCUCUACCAUGAUGACAACCUGGUGUUUAGUGUCACUAACCUGUUUGUUGCUGGUACUGACACCACCGGGAACACCUUGUGCUGGGGUCUGCUGCUCAUGGCCAAGUACCCCCACAUACAGGACAAGGUCCAAGAGGAGAUCACCAGGGUUAUAGGAAGUCGUCAACCUUUGGUAGAAGACAGGAAGAACCUGCCCUACACUAAUGCAGUGAUACAUGAGACCCAGAGAUUCGCCAACAUUGUACCCAUGUCUAUCCCUCACACCACCAGUCGAGACAUUACCUUCCAGGGAUAUUUUAUCAAGAAGGUGAAUGGGAGAGCCCCCACACCUUUAAUCCCGCCCACUUUCUGGAUGAGCAGGGCAGAUUCAUCAAGAAGGAAGCCUUUAUGGCUUUUUCUGCAGGUCGUAGGGUGUGUCUGGGGGAGAGUCUGGCCAGGAUGGAGCUUUUCCUCUUCUUCACUUCCCUCCUGCAGCGCUUUCAUUUCUCCCCUCCUCCUGGAGUAACAGAGGAUGAUCUGGACCUCACUCCAGCUGUGGGGUUCACACUCGGUCCUUUACCCCACCAGCUGUGUGCUGAUUUCAAGUGCAGCUCAUAAAGGUCCUUCAACAAAACAGGAUUUACUGGAGGUGCUCUGAGAACAAAUGCCUGUUUCAUAGCACAAUUAAGGUUUGUGGAGACAUGUUCUCCUCCAGAUUCCCAGCAUGGUGACAUCUCUUGGGGCUGUGCUGUUUCUGCCAGCCCUCUACCUUCUCUCCUUUGGUUCCAGUUCUGAGGAGCAGGGGAUAAAGCCUCCAGGACCCAGGCGACUGCCCCUGCUUGUUUACAUCCUUUUUCUGGACCUCAACAGAGCCCCCACACUCUCUGUAAGCUAAGAAGAAAGAAGCAUUCUUACAGAAUCCAUGACGAAGACGUUGAUAAAAGACAAUUGUAAAGCAUUUCCUGCAGUUUUAUUUUAGGUGCAGCAGUUCCUUGUGUCUCACUUCUGAUCUCAAUAGCUGAACAUAUUUCAAUAAAGCAUUAUGAUAUUUUAAAAUUCUCUUUCACCUUUAUUUUAACAGGGGAAUACAGACUGAGACCUAGGUCUCUUUUGCCUUGCAUGUAGAUUUUUGACCGCAGUAGUCCAUCUAUUUCCUAAAGAGCAGCCAAUCUGUUAUUUCACAAGUUUUCCUCGCCUAGCCCAGACUUUAUUCAUUUAUAGAAAGAGGUUUGAUAAUUCAGGGAAGAUUUUUUACUUCUUCAUGCUUAAGGGGGGCAUGUUUUUCAACCAGGGAUUUAGAAGUUGAUGAAAAG